AACGAACGCUGGCGGCAGGCUUAACACAUGCAAGUCGAACGCCCCGCAAGGGGAGUGGCGCCCGGGUGCGUAACGCGUGGGAACAUGCCCUUAGGUGCGGAAUAACGUCGGGAAACUGACGCUAAUACCGCAUAAUAUCCCCGGAUCAAAGAUUUAUCGCCAAAGGAUUGGCCCGCGUUAGAUUAGGUAGUUGGUGGGGUAAUGGCCUACCAAGCCGACGAUCUAUAGCUGGUAUGAGAGGAUGAUCAGCCACACUUGAACUGAGACACGGUCCAGACUCCUACGGGAGGCAGCAGUGAGGAAUAUUGGACAAUGGGGGAAACCCUGAUCCAGCCAUGCCGCGUGAGUGGUGAAGGCCUUAGGGUUGUAAAGCUCUUUUAGACGGGAAGAUAAUGACUGUACCAUCAGAAUAAGCCCCGGCUAAAUUCGUGCCAGCCGCCGCAGUAA
rnacentral:rRNA from 1 species